GCUAAGGCUGGAAACCGAGAAAAACCCCAAGAAACACAUCACAAAUCCAGUACCACACCAGAACUACAGGAUUGUACAACUGAACCUCUUCUGCCACCACCCUAUAUUUUUUUGGGAUGGUUACUAAGGAUAGGCCAUGGCGUAUACCAAACAUCACUAUUUUAUAUUUUACCAUCUGUGCCAAAUUAAUGUGUCUGUUAACAUAUUAAUGUUAGGGCACUGUCAAUAGUAGUAUCACAGAUACACUUUAAGAAAAUGAAACAGUUUACAUUCCCCUGUGAAAACCCACUAUCAUGUAAUGUUGAUUGAAAUGGAUGACACUUGUACCUCAUGUGUUGAAGUUACCGUUGCAAUGAAUGUGAUGUUAUAGUAUGAUAUGUUAAAAACAACUGCAGUAAAAUAAAUUUGUUUAUUGCAAAAGGA